rnacentral:snoRNA from 1 species
GCGCAUGGUUAUCCAAGAGCUGCAGCUCCGACCAGUAGCUCCAGCUCUCCAACAACAUGCCAGAGCAACAGGAAGGUCUUUGACUGCUGGGCCUCUUCUGCCUCUUGCUGUCACUCGCCCCUCCUAUAGAU